AUCCUACGGGAGGCAGCAGUGGGGAAUAUUGCACAAUGGGCGCAAGCCUGAUGCAGCCAUGCCGCGUGUGUGAAGAAGGCCUUCGGGUUGUAAAGCACUUUCAGUCGUGAGGAAGGUAGUGUAGUUAAUAGCUGCAUUAUUUGACGUUAGCGACAGAAGAAGCACCGGCUAACUCCGUGCCAGCAGCCGCGGUAAUACGGAGGGUGCGAGCGUUAAUCGGAAUUACUGGGCGUAAAGCGCAUGCAGGUGGUUUGUUAAGUCAGAUGUGAAAGCCCGGGGCUUAACCUGGGAAUUGCAUUUGAAACUGCUUGGCUAGAGUCCUUGAGAGGGGGUAGAAUUUCAGGUGUAGCGGUGAAAAUGCGUAGAGAUCUGAAGGAAUACCGGUGGCGAAGGCGGCCCCCCUGGACAGAUACUGACACUCAGAUGCGAAAGCGUGGGGAGCAAACAGGAUUAGAUACCCUGGUAG
rnacentral:rRNA from 1 species